rnacentral:lncRNA from 1 species
GCAACGGGUAAUGAUGGAGUUGAUGAAAUGUAAAAAGUUUUAAAAAUUUGUCACGCCCCGGGGCCGAUUUUAAAAGUCUUUUUAAAACAGAGUUGCGGAAAACGUGCUUUUUUUUUUUUUUUUUUUUUUUUUUUUUUUUUUUUUUUUUUCAACCUGGCCCACGUGACGUACAGACCCGCCACAAAUACAAAGUUCCUCUGUCCACUCGGACAGAGUCUCCUUUGUAUUUGCACGGCGUACCAACGAUACAACAGGAUCACAACCACAACCUACAUUUACCAAACAACAACCAAAGCAUGAUAUGCAUUUCCAUACAGCUAACAAUCCUUAGAAUGAUGCAUGCUUCUAAGCACUCCUUAGGCGCUGGAUGAUGCAAUGCACAAUACAACAAACAUCCUAUUUAAAAGUGCUCCCCACACGGAAGCUUUUGUUUUUAAACUCUAAUUCAAUCAUUUAUAAAAGCCAUUCGAAAACCUUUUUAAAACUGUUUCCCACACGGAAACUUUAUUUUGAAAACCGACUACCUCGAGGGGUAGAAAACCACGAUGCAUAACUACAAGAAAACCAAAUCUCCACAGAACCAAAACCACAGAUCGAAAACUCCAAUCUCAUGUAAUAUAAAAUAUCCAUAAUCUCAUGCAUAACGGAAAUCACAACAUUCAAACAUCUAACUGAACCAUUUAUUUAAAUGACAACUAAAGGCGGGAAAGAAAUAACCAGGGUGACGGUCGCUAC